GAUGAACGCUGGCGGCGUGCCUAAUACAUGCAAGUCGAGCGAACAGACGAGGAGCUUGCACCUCUGACGUUAGCGGCGGACGGGUGAGUAACACGUGGAUAACCUACCUAUAAGACUGGGAUAACUUCGGGAAACCGGUGCUAAUACCGGAUAAUAUAUUGAACCGCAUGGUUCAAUAGUGAAAGACGGUUUUGCUGUCACUUAUAGAUGGAUCCGCGCCGCAUUAGCUAGUUGGUAAGGUAACGGCUUACCAAGGCAACGAUGCGUAGCCGACCUGAGAGGGUGAGCGGCCACACUGGAACUGAGCCACGGUCCAGACUCCUACGGGACGCAGCAGUAGGGUAUCUUCCGCUAUGGGCGAAAUCUUGACGGGACCACGCCGCGUGGGUGAUAAAGGUCUUCGGAUCGUAAAACUCUGUUAUUAGGGAAGAACAAAUGUGCAAGUAACUAUGCACGUCUUGACGGUACCUAAUCAGAAAGCCACGGCUAACUACGUG
rnacentral:rRNA from 1 species